rnacentral:lncRNA from 1 species
AUGGCAAUACAUUCAUUCUGCCAUUUGGAGGAGCCUGUGCCACAGAAUAAUGAUCUGAAGAGAGCUGAUGCGUUUGCAAGGAAGAGUCCUCAUUUGUGCAAUAGCGUUGAUGCAGCUAAGAGGUGCCUUGCCAAGUUCAGAAACAGAAGCUUAUGUUCUGUGUUUUUUAUGCACAUAUUCAACUGUACUUACCAGCAUCAUCCUGGGACAGUGCUUCUUCCUCAGAACUUCAGUGACAUAAAAAAGGGCAGUGCUUUUAAUGUAAGCCUUUGCUUUAGUCUCUUCAAACUUGCAGCGCGAAGAUACUGUUUUAAGUAAAUGAAAUGGAUAAUUAAACACCAGAAUCUAGUUAAGAAAUGCAUUUGAACUCUUAGUAGGGUACUCCAGCUAUGGUCAAAACCAGUGAAAAUUAGAUUGUUUCGGUAAAGUUCUAAAAAGUUGAAAUGCAUUUCAGAAUCAUCACAAGGAAAAAAAAAAAAAGUACUAAUUUUGGAGACUAUUCCUAAAAUGUAUGAUUUUGUUCUGUAGUAUGAAUGAAUUGAGCUGGGUAUCAUUUUCAAAAUACUUUUCUUGUGUAAAUGCCACAGAAUUAUAAGACCUGGGGAAAUGAUGCAUCUGUCUAUUAGUUUUUAAAUAUGCAAAGAACAAUAUUCUUAAGCUGGUUAGGUUUUUGUAUAGGUGAGAAUAGAUGCUGGCUGUGCGUGAAGCUAAACUGCUAUUGAGCACAGCACUACAGAAAACAAAGGUGGGACAGAAGUAACGCUUAAGCCAAGUUCAGUGUUAUUGUGUAAUGAUGCUUAUGGUGUCUAAAAUGCAGAUAUUGAGAGAAAUAACUAUGUUUUUCCCCUAAAUCAUUGAACGGGACUGUUAUUCUUAACACAGCUUCCCAUACUUGGAUGGAACUGUUUUUUCUUCAAAGAGCAAACAGAAUGCUGCAUCUAAGGAGUAAGAAGGUAAGGCACUUGAGAUUGUUAUUUCAGGAAGCAGUUAAAAGUAAUUUCAGUGACUUGUAAUGAAUGCAAAUAUACAAAAAUACAUAUUAUUUAUUAUGCAUUGUGAACUCUGAAAUGGUUUAUAUCAGUUCCUGCCUGUUGGCUUUUUUUUUCUUGUUUAUUACAUGGGUGGAAUUUCUGUAAGUAUUCAGCUCUGCUUUCUAAAUGUGUUUUCACUGAAAUCAGUGAGCUGACCUGAGUGGGAAUAAAGGGUGGUUUAUCUUUAGUGAGACA